GCCCCGUGUUGCCCAGGCCGGAGUGUAGUGAUGCGAUCUUACCUCACUGCAGCUUUGAGUUCCUGGGCGUGGCACAAGCAGUUCUUGAACUCCUGGCCUCAAGCGAUCCUCCUGCCUUGGCCUCCCAAGCUGCUGGGAUUACAGGCGUGAGCCACUGCACCCAGCUGGAAUGCACAUUCUAAGUUACAAGAUCAAAUAACAAGGGAAAGAAGACUUGAUUAUGUAUACACACACAAAAAGAAAGUGUUAUCAAAACUGACAAGAAAAAGAAUAUUUAGAAGAAGGAGCACAAGAAAGAGGACACCCUUAACAGAAAAGUUAUUCAUUUCCAAUUUAAGACUCAUCAAGGGAUAAAAUCUGAAAACUUAUAAAGGAUACUUAUUACAGAAAAAAUUUAAGGGGAAACUGGUGCUGUGGAGAGACCCAUGUGGAAAGGAACUGAGGACUCCCGGCAAAAGUCACCAAGGACCGAGGUUGCUGACAGCUGCAUGUGAACUCGGAAGCAGAUCAAUCCUUGCCCAAGCCCACACUUUGUCUACAGCCUUGGGGAAGAAAGGGUGUGAUAUGUUUCCUCACCCAUCAUGAGGGUCACUGCCGAUACUCCUGUGACAAAAGACAGACAGGAAAUGGCACGUGCCACCUCUACUCAUAUUUAAUUCGUCAAAGAAGUCACAUGGUCAAGCAGUGAAGGGGCAGCAAAUGAUAGAGACAAUGAUGUCAUCUCCAAUGACUACAUGGAGCCCUAGUCGUUUGUUUCUGAAGAUAAAAGACCAA
rnacentral:lncRNA from 1 species